CUCCCCUCCCCUCCCCCCUACGGAGGGAGACUCUUUCCCCAAGCCCGAGCGGACCUGCAAAACCUACCCAGAGCUAGAGGUCGGGAUGCCUCCCCGGCCGAGUGGGACUGGAACCGGGGCAUUUAGAACAGAGAAAACUAAGACCGUUGUUGUCAUGGUGUGGACAGAGAUAAGACUGAAGACAGAGCCAUCGGACAGAAAGACUUACAACAGCUGGGGAGAAGAAGGAAAAUCGGUUGACGCUGAAAUGCCCAGAAGGUGCCCUUCCAGAAAUGCCUGCCCACGGUGAGCACUCCCUUCCCAGUUUCUCAGGAGAGGCUACAGAUGACCUCAAUCCUUGGGACAAUGCAAGUUCCCCGAGAGGAUCCUGUCUAUUCUGUAUUGCAUCAUCCAGCAGAGAAUAACGCCAUUUUCUCUGCGUUCCAUGAUGUCAGGAUGCUAAGAUGCGUUUCUUUACACGAGACGAAAGUGGAAGAGAUACUGGGGGAACGGAUGGUGUGGCAGGAUGAAUAUGGUCGAGACGCAUGUCUUUAUCAUAUCCGGUGUUAGGUACAAGGAAUAUAAACCAGCACCAAAAAAAAAAAAAAGGUUGGGUGGGGCAGGGUAGGUGGCUCAGAGGUUGAGAGCACUGGCUGCUUUUUUAGAGGACCCAGGUUUGGUUCCCAGCACCCACAUGGAGACUCACUACUACCUGUGACUCCAGUUCCUGCGGAUCUGACACCCUCUUCUGGCCCCGCAGGCACCAGGCAGGCAUGUAGUACACAGACACCCAUACCCUUAAAAGAUAAUAAUUAACAAAAAAAAGGUUGGAAGCAAUAAUGUAGGCUUUUGGAUAAAUAACUUUGAGGCUCAAGAGAGGACCUGGACUAAUGGAAUCUAUGAGUCAUUAAAACUGGGGGCAGCUGAAGUCAUGCGGGAGGAGGGAGGUGCUGGGACAGAGCCCCAUGGAAUUCCAGCAUUCGACAGGGGUCCCCAGAGGGAUGCCAUCGCCAGCGUCCAAGCCAGAUGUCCAAGGACCAACUGGUUUCCAGUGAGCAGAAGUUGGGUCAGGACAAUUGUUCUUGUUGACUUUAGUUGCACAUCACAGGAGACCGGCAAAACCAGAUUUUGAACGGUUGAGAAAGAUGUCCGUGGUAAGUAAUGGAGACAGGAAGCGCUUAAGUCUUCCAACAAUCUUGGCUGUGUGGUUAGGGAAAACGCUAGGCAUAAGGUGACUGGAUAUCCACAGAUAGCUCUGGGAAGGCAUGGCUUAAUCUAGAAAAUUGUUUAAAUUUAAUCUGUUAGAAGUGUGUGCGUGCAGGGCCAGGGAGAUGGUUCAGUCAGUAAACUGCCACGCUCAUGAGGACCGCAGUUAAGGUCAUUAGCACUCGUGCAAAAAGAAGUACGGUGUGGGGGUGCACCUCUGUGACAAUGUGCAGUAAGGGGUCCCUGGGGCUUACUGACCAGCCAGCCUAGUCAGCCAAUGUGUUCCAGGCUCCGUGACAGACUGUCUCAAAAAUAAGAUGAGCAACAGAGGAAGACACUUAAUGCCAGUCUCUGGCCAUCGUAAGCGCUCCCCGCCUUCCCCAACCCCAUGUGCAUGUGUGUCUGUGCGGACACCCCCAUAUGAACUCCUACCACACAUACUCAGUGCGCAUAGGGGUGGGGAUUUCUCUUGGUCAGCACAAGCAGAAGGGCCUGAGUUUGGAUUCCCAUUCCCCAAAUAAACAGCUGGCUGUGUGAGGCAACUUGUGCCUGUAAUCCUAGUUCUGGGGGACAGGGGGUGCAGAGGCAGGGACAGCACAGAAGGACCCCUGGGGCUUGCUGGUCAGCUAGUCUAGCUGGUCAGUGGGUCCCAGGCUCAGUGAGAAACCCUUUCUAAAAAAAAUGAAGGCCAGCAAGAUGGCUUAGCAGGUAAAUGCUACUUAGCAGGUAAAUGGUACUGUCGCCCAGGCCGGGUGGCCUGAGUUUGACACCAGGAACCACAGUGGAAGGAGACUGAUGCCUGAGAGUGGUCCUUUGACUUCUAUAUGGCACACACACGCAUCUGCAUUCACACACAGAUGCUGCAUCCAUGUACACACGCCUGGUUUACACACUGCCCUCACGCACACUGCACUCACGCAUUGCACGCACACUGCACUCACAUCCAUGCUAUACUUAUGCACACUGCACUUAAUACAGUCGUGCACACUGUCCUCACACACUGCGCUCACACACAGCACUCAUGCACACUACAUUCAUACACACUGCAUUUAUACACACACUGUAUUCACACUGUAAUCACACAUACUACAUUCACACACACUGCAUUCACACACACACACGCCAUGCAAUAAUAAUUUAAAAAAAUAAGGUGAAGUCAUUGAAGAUGACAUCCAACCUUAUCCACCUCUAGCUUUGUGUGCAUGCCGACACCCACGUUGUUUUCUGAGAUAGAAUCUCGCUGUGUAGCUCAGGCUAGCCCUGGACCCACUGCCCUACUCUUGAGUGUUGGAGUUGUCUAUUCUUUUUUUCUUCUUCUUCUUUUUCUUUUUUCUAUUUUUCGGAGCUGGGGACCGAACCCAGGACCUUGCGUUUGCUAGGCAAGUGCUUUACCACUGAGCUAAAUCCCCAGCCCUGGAGUUGUCUAUUCUUUAAAAAAAAAAAAAGCACAACCUUUUCUCUUCUGUUCCUCUUUGACAUAGGCUCUGACUGUGUAGCCCAGGCUGUCCUGCAGUCUUCAGACUUGAAAGCCUCCUCAGUCUUCCAAGUGCCGAGAUUACAGGCAUGCACCACAUCCAGCCAAAAGUAGAAUUUCUAGUUUUUAGUUUUGGCUUUUUGAGACAGGGUUCCUCUGUGCAGCCCUGGCUGUCCUGGAACUUGCUUUGUAGACCAGGCUGGCCUCAGACUCAGAGAUCCACCUGCCUCUGCCUCCCAACUGCUGGGAUUAAAGGUGUGCACUGUGCCACCACUGCCUGACCAAAAGCAGAAUCUUACCAUUCUUGUCUUGGGAGGCUGGGUAGACCUCUGUGUAGACCAGGUUAGAAUCAAACUCAGAGAAAUCUACCUGCCUUUGCCUCCCAAGAAUUUGGGCCACUAGUUGUUGCAAGGUUGUUUUGUUUUUAAUAUUUAUUUUUAAUGCACUUUAUGUAAAUGGGUGUUUGUUUGCAUGUAUGUCUUACACAUCAGAAGAGGACAUUGGAACCCAUGGUUGUGAGCCACCAUGUGGGUGCUGGGACUUGAACUCAAGACCUUAACCACUGAGCUGUCUCCAGCUUUGCAUUGCAACCUUGCACACUCACACAGACACUGCCAUCGGUGCAUGUGGAGGUCAGAGGUUGGAGGACAACUUUCGAGAGUUGGCUCUGUCCUUCCACUUUGUUGAGACUGCACCGCUCUUCAUUCUGCUUCUUAUCUCAUUAUCUAAGUAAAGCUCAGCAGGGAGACUGAGCUGGCCAGGCAUGAGGCCGAGGAUGUGUAGUCUCCUUCUGCAGCACUAGAUCACACUGUGUGGCACCAUUAGGUGUUUUUAGUGGUUUCUGAGGAUCAAGCGCCCAAGCCUCCGGUGCUUGUAUGCAGGCAGUUUACUGCGCCUCCCAGUGACUUUGUUGCUUUUUACAACUGCAGUCUGGUUCUUCCAUACUUUGUUUCCAAUUGUUCACUUGUGUCAAGUAAGUGUAACAUUCUAACACUACAUACACACACACACACACACACACACACACACACACACACACACAAGCUUGCAUACUUAUGUGAGUAUAUCCACAGGAUAAACUCUUUAAGAUGUAAUUUGUAAGUGUAAUAUACAUUUUAAUAAAUAUUGACAACUGUCUUCCAGAAUAACAGUGCUAAUUUACAUCCCCACUCACAGGGUGCACAAAACUCUAUUUUCUUUGUAUGCACAAGGGUAUUUUGCUUGUGUCUAAGUGUACCUCAGACAUGCCUGGUACCCAUAGAGGUAAGAAAAAGGCCUCAGAUCCCCAGAGCUGGAGUUGCAGAAAGUUGUGAACUGCCCCAUGUGUGCUGAGAAUUGAACCUAGGUCCUCUAGAUGGGCAGCCAAUGCUCAGAGAUCACUGAACCAUCUCUCCAGGCCCCUCCCCACCACAUAAGAAACAACAACAAAAUCCAGAAGCCUGUCGGUGCUGUACUAAUCCAAAAAUGGACUCAUUUUUAUUGGGAUGCCAGUAACAAGAUUAAACAGGGUUAUAAUCAGGCUUCGAGGUUCACACAGUAACCUUAGCAUGUGAGAGACCAAAGCAGGGAGGUUGCCAUAAGGUCACAGCCAGCCACAAGUCACUGCCUCAAAAUAGGCAUUGUCCCAGGUGUUCAUCUGCCUCUGUUUUCCUUCUUCUUUUCUUUUUUAAAAAUAAUUAUUUAUUUUAUGUAUAUGACUAAACUGUAGUCGUCUUCAGAUAUAGCAGAAGAGGGCAUCAGAUCCCAUUACAAAUGGUUGUGAGCCACCAUGUGGUUGCUGGGAAUUGAACUCAGGAAGAGCAAUCAGUGCUCUUAACUGCUGAGCCAUCUCUCCACCUACCUACCUUCCCCGUUUUGUUUGACUUUUGAGACAAGUCUCUCUAUGUAGCCCUAGCUGUCCUGGAACUCACUAUGUAAAAUAGGCUGCCCUCAAAUUAACAGAGAUCCUCUUGCCUCUGCCUCCCAGUGCUGGGACUAAAGGUGUGCGCCACCGUGCCUGGUCUGCCAUUGUUUUCCAUGAAUGUUUUUUGUUUUUUUUUUUUUUUCUGAUAGAUCCAAAAAUUCUGAGAUUACCUCUUUGACAAAUGCAUUAAAAUAACUUUAGUUGGUUCUCAUGGAAUCAUUCUCUCUGCUUUGGUCAAAUACACUGCUUUUUGCCUAUGGCUUCUGAGUAUUUUGUUAUGUAGAAAGGACUCCAAACUUAACAAUGGCUUCUGUUCUGACGCUUGCCUGUUAGGAGCCCAUUCUGUGCCUUGUGCUCUGGCCACAUGGUCCUUUUCUCCAGGCUCACAGGCACUGCGCCUUGCCAUCAUUCUACAUCCUUUCAGGAACAUCUUACCUCUCAUCUCUCGGAAACUCCUGUGUGUGCCACAGGGGGCAGGCUUCCCUUUCUGAAGCUUUGUGAACACAUUGGCCAGCAUCUGCUUUUGGAUACAGGGUCUUGACGAAUGGGUUGGCCUGGAGCUUGGCUGUGUAGUCCGUACCGUCCCCAAACUCAGCCUCCUAAGGUCUGAGGUUACGCCCAGCUCACGAUUUUGUAAAUGUUAAAGUAUAAACAGGCUAGGUCUGUCAUGAGUCCUAAAACGGUUCAACGUACUUGGUGCUGGGGCCUUAGUUACGCUGGUGUAACAUAAAGAUGAUAUUUUCAUGGUCUUCGGGGCUCUCCUGGGGAAUUGAGCAGUCACUGCCUGGUUCCAGGGCCUCAUCUUUAUAAGCACUAAAUGCACACUUUCUCCUGACUGCCACAGAGGCUGUAAUGAAGUGCCACGAAUGGUUCCUCCUACCCAGCUACUCACUCAGUCACAGGCCGAUAGGAAACAAGGUGGGACUCAGACCCGAAGGCUUCCAUGGCUGACUUGUUCUCCGUUGCACACGUGGAGGUGAAGCCCCACAUCCUUUGGUCACUGGGGCCGUUUUCUGCCAUCGGGUUGUUUGGGACAGUUGGGCAUGGUAGCACACACCUUUAAUCCCAGUGCUCUGGAGGCAGAAGCAGUGGGGUGGAUCUCUGUGGGUUGGAGGCCAGCCUGGUCUAAAGAGUGAGUUCUGGGAAAGCCAGGGCUACAGAAACAAACCCAAAACCAAGACUUUUUGGACCAGGUUCCAUUUGAGGCCUUCUGAGCCGUAGUCAGAGGCUGGUGUUACUGUUUUGUUGCUGUUACAAAUCACAAGCCUAGUGGUUUGAAACAGCAUACACUCGUUUUUUUAGAAUCCCAGCAGCUAGAAGUCCAAAAUUACGGUAUCGGCGCCACAUGCCUUUUAGAGAGUCACGGGACGGAUGUGUUUCCUUGCCUGCAUUCCUUGGUUUGCAGUCCUUCCUCGUUACCACCCCAACUUCUGUUAUUACAACUGCUGUGGUUAGAUCUCCCUCCACCUCCCGUUUAGAAGGGAUCCCAGCUACACCCCCCCCCCCGCCCCCAGCAUCCUUAAUCACGUCGGGAAAGCCUCUUCUGCUACCGAGGUGGUGUGUGGCCAUCUUGGGAGUUGGUUAUGCAGCCCGUCAGUCAUGGUGCUAAAGAUAGCUGUGGCCACCGCCUUGGUGACCGGUGAAGGGAGCCCAGCAGAGCCACGAGAUGGAGUUUUGAGGCGCAGAGAACAUGGAGACUCAGCUCUGCCUCCCACUGUGACCAACCUGUGGCCGCCCAAAGCUGGCCUCUUUUCCCUUCCUUCCAUUCCCACUGUCCCCGAUGUCUAAAACGUUCGGUGGCCCUCAAUAAGAGCUCAUAGCAACACUUCCUUAUCCUGAAAAGUCAAAUGGUAUCUAGUAAGAUCUGCAUUUUCUGCCGUUUUUCCCUUCUGUCUUUUUUAAAAAAGGUUGUUUAUUUUAUUGGCUAUUUUAUGUAUAUACAUUUCCCCCUCUUUUUCCCCUCCCCCUGCUUCUAUGAAGAUGCUCCCACUCCCACCCACCCACUCCCACCCACCCACUCCCACCUCAACACCCUGGCAUACCCCUACACUGGGGAAACGAGCCUUCACAGGACCAAGGGCUUCUUCUCCUAUUGAUGCCAGACAAUGCCAUCCUCUGCUACGCUCCCUUCUGUCUUAACGCACGUGUUGCGGUCUGCAGCAUGUUGACAGAGCGCCGUCACCAAGUAACAGCACCUUAUUCUUGUUUAGAACGUCCUUCCACAAAGUUCCUUCUCAUCCUUCAGCUCAUCUGGGUUUAGGAAGGGGAGGGUGCUGUCUCGGCUGUACAGUAAAACUAUGGCUGGAGACAGACGGGACGCAGAUGGGAGGGAAGCGCUGCCACACGGAGGUGUGUACGGGGAUAUACGUGCGACUGGGGGAUUUGCUGGAAUUUGUACCUUUUCAACAUGGGGAGCAAAAAGGAGGAUCCACCUCAAGGUCCUAGGGUGUGCAGUAAACAAGUGACACAGUGGGGCAAGGUUAGGGAGUGGGGUAAGUUUUCUUUUGGGCUAUGUAGUAAUACAACUGAGAUGCCCAGUAGCUACCUCAGGGGGAUCAUGAUUACAAAACAGGGAAAUAUUAGUCUGAGCCCUGGGGGAAGUGGGCUACCAAUAUAUUGAGGACCCAGUAGGGUGUGGGUACGUUAAAUGAUUGGGAACAGAAGGACUUUCUCCAGGAGGCUAGACGGAAUCCUAAGCUGUCAAAAGUAUUGUCUUUUCCACUUGUGCCUUCCAAGAACAGAACCUUCACUGUGAAUAUACUUAAUGCUGUAGAACUGUACACUUAAAAAUGGCCAGCAUGGGCUGGAGAGAUGGCUCAGCCGUUUACAGCACUGGCUGCUCUUGCGGAUUCAGGAGUCCAUGCAUUCCAUUCACAAGGUAGUGGCUCACAGCCAUGUGUUAACGCCAGUUCUAGGGGAUCUGAUGCCCUCUUCUGGACAAUUUGGGAACUGCAUGCACAUGGUGCUUAGAUAUUUAUGGGGAUGAAACAAGUACACAGAAAUAAAUAACAAGGCUGGGCAUGACAGCCGGGGCCUUUAAUCCAGGCACUUGGUAGGCAGAAGCAGGAGGAUCUAAGUUCAAGGUCAGCCUUGUCAACAUACUCCAAGAUAGCUAAGGCUAUAUGUAGAGAUGCCGUGUCUUAAAACACAAAACAGAAAUCGAAAAAGUAAAACACAAUAGAACCAGGCUGGGGAUGCAGCUCACUGGCACCGUGACUGCCGAGCGUCUGCAAAGUCCUGUGCUGUGCUUGAUCCUUAGUCCUGAGAACUAGAGGGGGGUGGGGAAGUGGGGGGAUAAGCGAGACGGAGUUGUACUGCAUCCCAAAUUGCUAUCUACCUCAGGGCUCAGAAUUUAAAUCUUAUUUUAUUGUGGGGGAUGAGGAGACUAGGGAUCAAACUUUGCAAGUAUUUGGUGAGCACUCUGCAAUUAAUCUUCAGUUAAGCUUUACCCAGAGCCAUAAAUAUCUGUCAUCAUCAUUUUUUUUUUAAAGACAGGGACUCGUUGGGUUCAGUCAGAGAAGAUGCACCUAACCCUCAAAAGACUGGAGGUCCCAGGGAGUUUAGAGGUGAAGUGGGGAGGGGAGGUAUGAGAUGUGGAACAGUUGGAGGAGGGGACCAGGAGGGGAAUAAAAUAUGGAUUGUAAAAAUCAAUAAAUAAAUAAAUAAACUAAUUAAUAAAAAAAAAAA